rnacentral:rRNA from 1 species
UACGUAGGGGGCAAGCGUUGUCCGGAUUUACUGGGCGUAAAGAGCGUGUAGGCGGCCACGCAGGUCCGUUGUGAAAACUGGAGGCUCAACCUCCAGACGUCGACGGAAACCGUAUGGCUAGAGUCCGGAAGAGGAGAGUGGAAUUCCUGGUGUAGCGGUGAAAUGCGCAGAUAUCAGGAAGAACACCAAUGGCGAAGGCAGCUCGCUGGGACGGUACUGACGCUGAGACGCGAAAGCGUGGGGAGCGAACAGG